UUAGGGAUCUUCCGCAAUGGACGGAAGUCUGACGGAGCGACGCCGCUUGGAGGAGGAAGCCCCUCGGGGUGUAAACUCCUGAACUGGGGACGAAAGCCCCGUGUAGGGGGAUGACGGUACCCAGGUAAUAGCGCCGGCCAACUCCGUG
rnacentral:rRNA from 1 species